GACGAACGCUGGCGGCGUGCCUAAUACAUGCAAGUUGAGCGCUGAAGGUUGGUACUUGUACCGACUGGAUGAGCAGCGAACGGGUGAGUAACGCGUGGGGAAUCUGCCUUUGAGCGGGGGACAACAUUUGGAAACGAAUGCUAAUACCGCAUAAAAACUUUAAACACAAGUUUUAAGUUUGAAAGAUGCAAUUGCAUCACUCAAGGAUGAUCCCGCGUUGUAUUAGCUAGUUGGUGAGGUAAAGGCUCACCAAGGCGAUGAUACAUAGCCGACCUGAGAGGGUGAUCGGCCACAUUGGGACUGAGACACGGCCCAAACUCCUACGGGAGGCAGCAGUAGGGAAUCUUCGGCAAUGGACGAAAGUCUGACCGAGCAACGCCGCGUGAGUGAAGAAGGUUUUCGGAUCGUAAAACUCUGUUGGUAGAGAAGAACGUUGGUGAGAGUGGAAAGCUCAUCAAGUGACGGUAACUACCCAGAAAGGGACGGCUAACUACGU
rnacentral:rRNA from 1 species